rnacentral:rRNA from 1 species
AUGGGCCAUAAGCACGCAAACAAUGACCAAAAAUUACCUGAGCAGGGAAUUUCCCAUAAUAUCUUCAGGACAGGUUGUAUAAUAAUACUAGUUAAUAGUAAACAGGAUACUUCUACUAACAUAAUAAUGGGCCAUAAGCACGCAAACAAUGACCAAAAAUUACCUGAGCAGGGAAUUUCCCAUAAUAUCUUCAGGACAGGUUGUAUAAUAAUACUAGUUAAUAGUAAACGGGAUACUUCUACUACCAUAACAAUGGGCCAUAAGCACGCAAACAAUGACCAAGAAUUACCUGAGCAGGGAAUUUCCCGUUGA